rnacentral:rRNA from 1 species
CCUACGGGAGGCAGCAGUGAGGAAUAUUGGUCAAUGGACGAGAGUCUGAACCAGCCAAGUAACGUGAAGGAUGACUGCCCUAUGGGUUGUAAACUUCUUUUAUAUGGGAAUAAAAUGUUCCACGUGUGGGAUUUUGUAUGUACCAUAUGAAUAAGGAUCGGCUAACUCCGUGCCAGCAGCCGCGGUAAUACGGAGGAUCCGAGCGUUAUCCGGAUUUAUUGGGUUUAAAGGGAGCGUAGGUGGAUUGUUAAGUCAGUUGUGAAAGUUUGCGGCUCAACCGUAAAAUUGCAGUUGAAACUGGCAGUCUUGAGUACAGUAGAGGUGGGCGGAAUUCGUGGUGUAGCGGUGAAAUGCUUAGAUAUCACGAAGAACUCCGAUUGCGAAGGCAGUUCACUGGACUGCAACUGACACUGAGGCUCGAAAGUGUGGGUAUCAAACAGGAUUAGAUACCCCUGUAGUC